rnacentral:rRNA from 1 species
UACGGGGGGGGCAAGCGUUGUUCGGAAUUACUGGGCGUAAAGGGCGCGUAGGCGGCCCGCUAAGUCGGACGUGAAAUCCCCGAGCUCAACUCGGGAACUGCGUCCGAUACUGGCGGGCUUGAAUCCGGGAGAGGGAUGCGGAAUUCCAGGUGUAGCGGUGAAAUGCGUAGAUAUCUGGAGGAACACCGGUGGCGAAGGCGGCAUCCUGGACCGGCAUUGACGCUGAGGCGCGAAAGCUAGGGGAGCAAACGGG